rnacentral:tRNA from 1 species
GCCCCCGUGGCGGAAUUGGCAUACGCGGCAGGUUGAGGGCCUGUGCUCUCUGAGCGUGUUGGUUCGAAUCCAACCGGGGGCA